rnacentral:rRNA from 1 species
UUGAAAGGGAAACGAUUGAAGUCAGUCAUGCCGGUGGGAAUCAACUUAGGGGAAACUCUAGGUGCACUUCUUCGCUUGGCAGGUCAACGUCGAUUUUGAAUGUCAUAAAAUAAUUGGGGGAAGGUAGCUCCUUCGGGAGUGUUAUAGCCCUUGAUAGAUGUGAUGUUUGGGGUCGAGGAUUGCAACGGAUACCCUUCAGGGCUAUUCGUCUGAUCUCUGAUACGUUGCCUUGAUGUUGAAAGCUUGCUUAUGAUGUUAGGGUAUUACGGUCAAAAGGUUAGAACGAAUUACAUUCGUUAAGGAUGUUGACGUA